CUCUGUUGUUAGGGAAGAACAAGUGCUAGUUGAAUAAGCUGGCACCUUGACGGUACCUAACCAGAAAGCCACGGCUAACUACGUGCCAGCAGCCGCGGUAAUACGUAGGUGGCAAGCGUUAUCCGGAAUUAUUGGGCGUAAAGCGCGCGCAGGUGGUUUCUUAAGUCUGAUGUGAAAGCCCACGGCUCAACCGUGGAGGGUCAUUGGAAACUGGGAGACUUGAGUGCAGAAGAGGAAAGUGGAAUUCCAUGUGUAGCGGUGAAAUGCGUAGAGAUAUGGAGGAACACCAGUGGCGAAGGCGACUUUCUGGUCUGUAACUGACACUGAGGCGCGAAAGCGUGGGGAGCAAACAGGAUUAGAUACCCUGGUAGUCCACGCCGUAAACGAUGAGUGCUAAGUGUUAGAGGGUUUCCGCCCUUUAGUGCUG
rnacentral:rRNA from 1 species